rnacentral:rRNA from 1 species
CUUACCAUGCAGUCGAACGGUGAAGCCCAGCUUGCUGGGUGGAUCAGUGGCGAACGGGUGAGUAACACGUGAGCAAUCUGCCCCUGACUCUGGGAUAAGCGCUGGAAACGGCGUCUAAUACUGGAUAUGAACCGUGGAGGCAUCUUCAACGGUUGGAAAGAUUUUUUGGUCAGGGAUGAGCUCGCGGCCUAUCAGCUUGUUGGUGAGGUAAUGGCUCACCAAGGCGUCGACGGGUAGCCGGCCUGAGAGGGUGACCGGCCACACUGGGACUGAGACACGGCCCAGACUCCUACGGGAGGCAGCAGUGGGGAAUAUUGCACAAUGGGCGCAAGCCUGAUGCAGCAACGCCGCGUGAGGGAUGACGGCCUUCGGGUUGUAAACCUCUUUUAGCAGGGAAGAAGCGAAAGUGACGGUACCUGCAGAAAAAGCGCCGGCUAACUACGUGCCAGCAGCCGCGGUAAUACGUAGGGCGCAAGCGUUAUCCGGAAUUAUUGGGCGUAAAGAGCUCGUAGGCGGUUUGUCGCGUCUGCUGUGAAAUCCCGAGGCUCAACCUCGGGUCUGCAGUGGGUACGGGCAGACUAGAGUGCGGUAGGGGAGAUUGGAAUUCCUGGUGUAGCGGUGGAAUGCGCAGAUAUCAGGAGGAACACCGAUGGCGAAGGCAGAUCUCUGGGCCGUAACUGACGCUGAGGAGCGAAAGGGUGGGGAGCAAACAGGCUUAGAUACCCUGGUAGUCCACCCCGUAAACGUUGGGAACUAGUUGUGGGGUCCAUUCCACGGAUUCCGUGACGCAGCUAACGCAUUAAGUUCCCCGCCUGGGGAGUACGGCCGCAAGGCUAAAACUCAAAGGAAUUGACGGGGACCCGCACAAGCGGCGGAGCAUGCGGAUUAAUUCGAUGCAACGCGAAGAACCUUACCAAGGCUUGACAUAUACGAGAACGCUGCAGAAAUGUAGAACUCUUUGGACACUCGUAAACAGGUGGUGCAUGGUUGUCGUCAGCUCGUGUCGUGAGAUGUUGGGUUAAGUCCCGCAACGAGCGCAACCCUCGUUCUAUGUUGCCAGCACGUAAUGGUGGGAACUCAUGGGAUACUGCCGGGGUCAACUCGGAGGAAGGUGGGGAUGACGUCAAAUCAUCAUGCCCCUUAUGUCUUGGGCUUCACGCAUGCUACAAUGGCCGGUACAAAGGGCUGCAAUACCGUAAGGUGGAGCGAAUCCCAAAAAGCCGGUCCCAGUUCGGAUUGAGGUCUGCAACUCGACCUCAUGAAGUCGGAGUCGCUAGUAAUCGCAGAUCAGCAACGCUGCGGUGAAUACGUUCCCGGGUCUUGUACACACCGCCCGUCAAGUCAUGAAAGUCGGUAACACCUGAAGCCGGUGGCCCAACCCUUGUGGAGGGAGCCGUCGAAGGUGAUC